rnacentral:lncRNA from 1 species
GAAAACAUACUCUGCUGUAAUGUCGAUUUCAACACUCUAUCUGGACCAACAACUGAAUGAUUUGAGCGGCCAAAUCAUCUACAUGUGCAGGUAUCAUAAGUUCAAUCCCGUCAUCAUCCUUGAAUUUCUCUUUCCAAGGCUUAAAAGACUUGUCCUGGAACAAGAAGAAAACCCAACAAAUAAAAGAUAUUGGGGUGAUUCACAGGAGCAAAUUAAGAAAAAGGAGAAUAUUU